rnacentral:rRNA from 1 species
UACGAAGGGGGGCUAGCGUUGUUCGGAAUUACUGGGCGUAAAGGGCGCGUAGGCGGCGUGUCAAGUCAGGCGUGAAAGCCCCGGGCUCAACCUGGGAACCGCGCUUGAGACUGGCAUGCUCGAGUUCGGGAGAGGAUGGUGGAAUUCCCAGUGUAGAGGUGAAAUUCGUAGAUAUUGGGAAGAACACCGAUGGCGAAGGCAGCCAUCUGGACCGACACUGACGCUGAGGCGCGAAAGCGUGGGGAGCAAACAGG